AUGAACGCUAGCUACAGGCUUAACACAUGCAAGUCGAGGGGCAGCAUGGUCUUAGCUUGCUAAGGCCGAUGGCGACCGGCGCACGGGUGAGUAACACGUAUCCAACCUGCCGUCUACUCUUGGACAGCCUUCUGAAAGGAAGAUUAAUACAAGAUGGCAUCAUGAGUCCGCAUGUUCACAUGAUUAAAGGUAUUCCGGUAGACGAUGGGGAUGCGUUCCAUUAGAUAGUAGGCGGGGUAACGGCCCACCUAGUCUUCGAUGGAUAGGGGUUCUGAGAGGAAGGUCCCCCACAUUGGAACUGAGACACGGUCCAAACUCCUACGGGAGGCAGCAGUGAGGAAUAUUGGUCAAUGGGCGAGAGCCUGAACCAGCCAAGUAGCGUGAAGGAUGACUGCCCUAUGGGUUGUAAACUUCUUUUAUAAAGGAAUAAAGUCGGGUAUGGAUACCCGUUUGCAUGUACUUUAUGAAUAAGGAUCGGCUAACUCCGUGCCAGCAGCCGCGGUAAUACGGAGGAUCCGAGCGUUAUCCGGAUUUAUUGGGUUUAAAGGGAGCGUAGAUGGAUGUUUAAGUCAGUUGUGAAAGUUUGCGGCUCAACCGUAAAAUUGCAGUUGAUACUGGAUAUCUUGAGUGCAGUUGAGGCAGGCGGAAUUCGUGGUGUAGCGGUGAAAUGCUUAGAUAUCACGAAGAACUCCGAUUGCGAAGGCAGCCUGCUAAGCUGCAACUGACAUUGAGGCUCGAAAGUGUGGGUAUCAAACAGGAUUAGAUACCCUGGUAGUCCACACGGUAAACGAUGAAUACUCGCUGUUUGCGAUAUACGGCAAGCGGCCAAGAGAAAGCGUUAAGUAUUCCACCUGGGGAGUACGCCGGCAACGGUGAAACUCAAAGGAAUUGACGGGGGCCCGCACAAGCGGAGGAACAUGUGGUUUAAUUCGAUGAUACGCGAGGAACCUUACCCGGGCUCAAACGCACGACGGCGGCACGUGAAAGCGUGCUUACCUACGGGACGUUGUGCGAGGUGCUGCAUGGUUGUCGUCAGCUCGUGCCGUGAGGUGUCGGCUUAAGUGCCAUAACGAGCGCAACCCUUGUUGUCAGUUACUAACAGGAUUUGCUGAGGACUCUGACAAGACUGCCAUCGUAAGAUGUGAGGAAGGUGGGGAUGACGUCAAAUCAGCACGGCCCUUACGUCCGGGGCUACACACGUGUUACAAUGGGGGGUACAGAGGGCCGCUACCACGCGAGUGGAUGCCAAUCCCCAAAACCUCUCUCAGUUCGGACUGGAGUCUGCAACCCGACUCCACGAAGCUGGAUUCGCUAGUAAUCGCGCAUCAGCCACGGCGCGGUGAAUACGUUCCCGGGCCUUGUACACACCGCCCGUCAAGCCAUGGGAGCCGGGGGUACCUGAAGUGCGUAACCGCGAGGAGCGCCCUAGGGUAAAACUGGUGACUGGGGCU
rnacentral:rRNA from 1 species